UGGCUCCUCUUACUUCUCGUACCCGACAACGCCUUUCCUCAGACCACUUCCGGUGAACAGCGGGAAGAGACUGCAAACCUCCCGAAGGGGAUCCGAGAGCCGAUUUUGACUGCAAGGAGAUAGCUGGGGGCCUACCUUCAAUCAAUCCUUCCGAUCAGUCCUCCUGUUGUGGUUCUACUACACCUGAGUGCGAAAAAUUCCACAACGGAGUCUGCAAGUUGCGACAGGACUCUGGAAGCUGCGACUACACCCUUGACAUCUGCCCUCGGACUGACUCGAAUUGGCUCUGCACUUGCUGCGCUUCAUGUGACGGAGAAGCCCCAAACAACUGUAAGGCUAAUGGAGGCCAUUGUCGAAGGAGUUGCGCAGAGGAGGAGGUGUACGCCUUUUGGCACGACUGCGCUAAAGGAGACUGCAGGUGCUGCAAGGAAUGUCUGCAGAGCACGUGCGCUGAGGGAAGGGUAUCUGCGCCCACCCAGCUCGGGAAUGCCCCAAAGGCUUCUUCCCAAGCGAGCAACUCUGCAGGGGCUUCAAUGAUAAACCGUGCAAGUGCUGCGUCCCUUGUCAACAACCCG